rnacentral:rRNA from 1 species
UUAAGUUAGAAAGGGCGCACGGUGGAUGCCUUGACACUAGGAGUCGAUGAAGGACGGGACUAACGCCGAUAUGCUUCGGGGAGCUGUAAGUAAGCUUUGAUCCGAAGAUUUCCGAAUGGGGAAACCCACCAUACGUAAUGGUAUGGUAUCCUUAUCUGAAUACAUAGGGUAAGGAAGACAGACCCAGGGAACUGAAACAUCUAAGUACCUGGAGGAAGAGAAAGCAAAUGCGAUUUCCUGAGUAGCGGCGAGCGAAACGGAACAUAGCCCAAACCAAGAGGCUUGCCUCUUGGGGUUGUAGGACAUUCUAUACGGAGUUACAAAGGAACGAGGUAGACGAAGCGACCUGGAAAGGUCCGUCGUAGAGGGUAACAACCCCGUAGUCGAAACUUCGUUCUCUCUUGAAUGUAUCCUGAGUACGGCGGAACACGUGAAAUUCCGUCGGAAUCUGGGAGGACCAUCUCCCAAGGCUAAAUACUCCCUAGUGAUCGAUAGUGAACCAGUACCGUGAGGGAAAGGUGAAAAGCACCCCGGAAGGGGAGUGAAAGAGAUCCUGAAACCGUGUGCCUACAAAUAGUCAGAGCCCGUUAAUGGGUGAUGGCGUGCCUUUUGUAGAAUGAACCGGCGAGUUACGAUCCCGUGCGAGGUUAAGCUGAAGAGGCGGAGCCGCAGCGAAAGCGAGUCUGAAUAGGGCGUUUAGUACGUGGUCGUAGACCCGAAACCAGGUGAUCUACCCAUGUCCAGGGUGAAGUUCAGGUAACACUGAAUGGAGGCCCGAACCCACGCACGUUGAAAAGUGCGGGGAUGAGGUGUGGGUAGCGGAGAAAUUCCAAUCGAACCUGGAGAUAGCUGGUUCUCCCCGAAAUAGCUUUAGGGCUAGCCUUAAGUGUAAGAGUCUUGGAGGUAGAGCACUGAUUGGACUAGGGGUCCUCAUCGGAUUACCGAAUUCAGUCAAACUCCGAAUGCCAAUGACUUAUCCUUAGGAGUCAGACUGCGAGUGAUAAGAUCCGUAGUCAAAAGGGAAACAGCCCAGACCGCCAGCUAAGGUCCCAAAGUGUGUAUUAAGUGGAAAAGGAUGUGGAGUUGCUUAGACAACUAGGAUGUUGGCUUAGAAGCAGCCACCAUUUAAAGAGUGCGUAAUAGCUCACUAGUCGAGUGACUCUGCGCCGAAAAUGUACCGGGGCUAAAUACACCACCGAAGCUGCGGAUUGAUACCAAUGGUAUCAGUGGUAGGGGAGCGUUCUAAGGACAGUGAAGUCAGACCGGAAGGACUGGUGGAGUGCUUAGAAGUGAGAAUGCCGGUAUGAGUAGCGAAAGACGGGUGAGAAUCCCGUCCACCGAAUGCCUAAGGUUUCCUGAGGAAGGCUCGUCCGCUCAGGGUUAGUCAGGACCUAAGCCGAGGCCGACAGGCGUAGGCGAUGGACAACAGGUUGAUAUUCCUGUACCACCUCUUUAUCGUUUGAGCAAUGGAGGGACGCAGAAGGAUAGAAGAAGCGUGCGAUUGGUUGUGCACGUCCAAGCAGUUAGGCUGAUAAGUAGGCAAAUCCGCUUAUCGUGAAGGCUGAGCUGUGAUGGGGAAGCUCCUUAUGGAGCGAAGUCUUUGAUUCCCCGCUGCCAAGAAAAGCUUCUAGCGAGAUAAAAGGUGCCUGUACCGCAAACCGACACAGGUAGGCGAGGAGAGAAUCCUAAGGUGUGCGAGAGAACUCUGGUUAAGGAACUCGGCAAAAUGACCCCGUAACUUCGGGAGAAGGGGUGCUUUCUUAACGGAAAGCCGCAGUGAAUAGGCCCAAGCGACUGUUUAGCAAAAACACAGCUCUCUGCGAAGCCGUAAGGCGAAGUAUAGGGGGUGACACCUGCCCGGUGCUGGAAGGUUAAGGAGAGGGGUUAGCGUAAGCGAAGCUCUGAACUGAAGCCCCAGUAAACGGCGGCCGUAACUAUAACGGUCCUAAGGUAGCGAAAUUCCUUGUCGGGUAAGUUCCGACCCGCACGAAAGGUGUAACGAUUUGGGCACUGUCUCAACCAGAGACUCGGUGAAAUUAUAGUACCUGUGAAGAUGCAGGUUACCCGCGACAGGACGGAAAGACCCCGUGGAGCUUUACUGUAGCCUGAUAUUGAAUUUUGGUACAGUUUGUACAGGAUAGGCGGGAGCCUUUGAAACCGGAGCGCUAGCUUCGGUGGAGGCGCUGGUGGGAUACCGCCCUGACUGUAUUGAAAUUCUAACCUACGGGUCUUAUCGACCCGGGAGACAGUGUCAGGUGGGCAGUUUGACUGGGGCGGUCGCCUCCUAAAGUGUAACGGAGGCGCCCAAAGGUUCCCUCAGAAUGGUUGGAAAUCAUUCGUAGAGUGCAAAGGCAUAAGGGAGCUUGACUGCGAGACCUACAAGUCGAGCAGGGACGAAAGUCGGGCUUAGUGAUCCGGUGGUUCCGCAUGGAAGGGCCAUCGCUCAACGGAUAAAAGCUACCCCGGGGAUAACAGGCUUAUCUCCCCCAAGAGUCCACAUCGACGGGGAGGUUUGGCACCUCGAUGUCGGCUCAUCGCAUCCUGGGGCUGUAGUCGGUCCCAAGGGUUGGGCUGUUCGCCCAUUAAAGCGGUACGCGAGCUGGGUUCAGAACGUCGUGAGACAGUUCGGUCCCUAUCCGUCGUGGGCGUAGGAAAUUUGAGAGGAGCUGUCCUUAGUACGAGAGGACCGGGAUGGACGCACCGCUGGUGUACCAGUUGUUCUGCCAAGGGCAUAGCUGGGUAGCUAUGUGCGGAAGGGAUAAGUGCUGAAAGCAUCUAAGCAUGAAGCCCCCUCAAGAUGAGAUUUCCCAUAGCGUAAGCUAGUAAGAUCCCUGAAAGAUGAUCAGGUUGAUAGGUUCGAGGUGGAAGCAUGGUGACAUGUGGAGCUGACGAAUACUAAUAGAUCGAGGACUUAACCAU